rnacentral:rRNA from 1 species
UGGGGAAUAUUGGACAAUGGGCGAAAGCCUGAUCCAGCCAUGCCGCGUGUGUGAAGAAGGUCUUCGGAUUGUAAAGCACUUUAAGUUGGGAGGAAGGGCAUUAACCUAAUACGUUAGUGUUUUGACGUUACCGACAGAAUAAGCACCGGCUAACUCUGUGCCAGCAGCCGCGGUAAUACAGAGGGUGCAAGCGUUAAUCGGAAUUACUGGGCGUAAAGCGCGCGUAGGUGGUUUGUUAAGUUGGAUGUGAAAGCCCCGGGCUAAACCUGGGAACUGCAUCCGAAACUGGCAAGCUAGAGUACGGUAGAGGGUGGUGGAAUUUCCUGUGUAGCGGUGAAAUGCGUAGAUAUAGGAAGGAACACCAGUGGCGAAGGCGACCACCUGGACUGAUACUGACACUGAGGUGCGAAAGCGUGGGGAGCAAACA